UGGGAGUCUGAUUAUUAAAUGCCUUGAGGUAGACUUCUUUGGGCUAAGUCUGCUUGGUGUUCCAUAACCUUCUUAUACAUAGAUAUUUUUCUUCAGGAUU